UCUGGAGAAUCCUCCAGGAUCCUAGCCACUUAGGAAUUCAAUACUGUCACUCAACCCCCCUUCCUGGUGCAGGAAAAAAGCUUUGUUUUCAACAUAUUGUCACUGCUCUAGGCUCCAAAAAGUCUAAUUUUAAAACUCACAGAGAGAACGGAAGAGAGAGAGAAACUUCGAUGUGAGAAACAUCAGUUGAUGCCUGUGCCCCAUCUGGUCAUUAAAUUCUUCACCUACAGGACUCAAGGCAUUUCCUUCAGGACAAAAAGUAGAAUGCAGUUCUGUGGAGGUCUGUCCAGUGGAAGACUGCACUCUCUCGCGGCCCACGCCAGUGCCCCUCUGACAGCAACAUGAAGCAUGGACUACUGAGUGAGGUGACACUGAGGAGUUCCUUCUGGUCCCCACCAUUCUGUCUCUCUACUCUAAAAAUCACGGUAUAUAUUACACUGAACAGUCUGUGUGGAUGGAAAGGCUACCCAUGUUUUCUCUUUGUGAUGCAGAGGUGAGAACCGUUACUCAUAGAUCGACAGCAUACUCCCACCAAGUGAUGUGCUGUGCAGGGGACCAAGAAGUGGGCAAGAAUAAAGCAGAUUCACUGUGUUUUGGGAAACCCUCAGGAAGAAUAUCACAUCUCUGGUGAUCUACAGUGGCCAACUGCAAGCCAAGUGGGCAGGCAAGGCCUUAAAAUGCUACCUCACAGUUCUGCUCUGACCAAGUGGGCAGAGUCUACACACCCCACCCAUGUCUGAUUCCCCUGUGCUAACAGAUCACCUCUGUUAACAGUGACAACCUCUGUCAAAUGAUGGACCUGCAUUUAUUCCAUCAAGAGUAGAAAGAUUAGCUUUGACAUGCCCCUGGCUCACUGAUUCUCUCUGGCUGGUCUGUCUUCUGUUCCACUGCUUUCCAUUCUUUAUUGUUUCCUUCCUUCUACUUACUAUGGGGUUAAUUUGUUCUUCUUUUAUGCUUGGCUAGCAGAACUUUAGAUUGUUGAUUUUCAACUUAAAUUUUUUUCUUUCAUUUUUUUCAUAGCUAUUAUUUACUGGUUAUAUACAAUGACUCACUUAAACAUAAAAACAUAUUUUGCUUGAUUGCUUCAAGUGCACCAAGAUUCUUUCUUAACCCUUUCUCCUCUGAGGGCCUUAUAUUCUCUCGACUUUGAUGAGAGACUGUAUCUCUGUCAUUCUUUAAUUUGGCUAAUUGCAUUCUGAAUUGCUCAGUGAGAGCACUAGAGUUUCGUAUCAUAUAACCAUUAAGUUGUUGUUAAAAUUCUACCUCCAUGUUAUUUCUAAUAUUUAUUUAUAUUCUUUUAUAAGUAUAUUUUGAUUAUGCUAUUACAGUUGUCCAAAUUUUUUCCCUCUUUAUUCCCCUCCACCUUUCAUCCCCCACCUGCCAGCAUCCUCUCUGCACCUUAGUUCAUGUCCAUGGGUCAUACAUGUAAGUUCUUUGGCUUCUCUGUUUCCUAUACUAUUCUUAACCUUCCCCCAUCUAUCUUAUGCCUACCAAUUAUGCUUCUUAUUCCCUGUACCUUUCCCCCUCCAUUCUUCCCCUCCCCACUGAAACCCCUCCAUUUGUCUGAUUCUGUUCUUGUUCUGGUUGUUUGCUUAGUUUUAGUUUUAGUUUUUUAGGCUCAGUUGUUGAUAGUUGUUAGUUUGUUGUCAAAUUACUGUUUAUAGUUUUUGAUCUUAUAUUUCUUAGAUAAGUCCCUUUAACAUUUCAUAUAACAAGGGCUUGGUAAUGAUGAACUCCCUUAACUUGACCUUAUCUGGGAAGCACUUUCUCUGCCUUUCCAUUCUAAAUAAAAGCUUUGCUGGGUAGAGCAAUCUUGGAUGUAGGUCCUUGCCUUUCAUGACUUGGAGUUCUUCUUUCCAGCCCCUUCUUGCCUGCAAGGUCUCUUUUGAGAAAUCAGAUGACAGUCUGAUGGGAACUCCUUGGUAGGUAACUGUCUCCUUAUCUCUUCCUGCUUCGAAGAUUCUCUCCUUCUUUUUGAUCUUGGGUAAUGUAAUUAUGAUGUGCCUUGGUGUGUUCCUCUUUGGGUCCAACUUCUUUGGGACUCUCUGAGCUUCCUGGACUGACUGGAAGUCUAUUUCCUUUGCCAGACUGGGGAAUUUUUCCUUCGCUAUUUUUUCAAAUAAGUUUUCAAUUUCUUGCUUUUCCUCUUCUUCUUCUGGUACCCCUAUGAUUUGGAUAUUGGAACAUUUAAAGUUGUCCUGGAGGUUUGUAAGACUCUCCUCAUUUUUAUGGAUUCUUAUUUCUUCAUUCCAUUCCAGUUGGAUGUUUAUUUCUCCCUUUUGUCCCAAAUCAUUGAUUUGAGUCUCUGUUUCUUUCCUUUCACUGUUUGUUUCCUAUAUAUUUUGCUUUAUUCACUUUGGGUAACCUUCAUUUUCUCCUUCAUUUUGUGAUUGGGCUCAAUCCAUUCUGUGAGCAUCCUGAUUAUAAGUGUUUCAAACUCUGCAUCUAAUAGGUUGUCUAUCUCUUCAUUGUUUAGCUCUUUUCCUGGAGUUUUGAUCUGUUCUUUCAUUUGGGCCACAUUUCCUUGUUUUAUACCUGUUACAUUGUGAGGGGUGGUAUUCACUGGGUGGGGAGGGGCCAAUCCACUCAGCUGCCCAUCUCCUGUCUCUGUCCCUCCUACUGGUCUGGAUGAAUGUUUCUUUAACUCCUUGGUUGUCUGAGUUCCAUUCAAUUUAAUUUUCUGGAAUUUCUGGCUGUUUAUUGUUUUUAAAUUGGUUAUUAUCCUUCUUUUGGUUGUGCGAGGAAGCAUAGUGUUUCUACCUACACAAGGUUCCAUCUUGGCCGGAAACUAAAAUUUUCUUAAAGUGUUGUAAAGCUAUAAAUGCUCUCUAAACACUGUUUUAGCUGCAUCCCAAGAAACCUUGUAUGUUGUGUUUUCAUUUUGUUUGAAACAUUUGAAAUUUUCCUUUGUGAUU